rnacentral:misc_RNA from 1 species
AAGUUACAUUACCUGCCUUUUUUAAAAUUUUUAAAUUCCCAGUCUUUGGUAUAAUUGGUUACGUUAUUAAUAUACUGCGAUAGUUCGAGUGAGAAAUGAAGUGUGACAACCGAUUUACUAGUGAUUUCUAAUGAGUGAGAGAGCGAUAGUGAUUACAUUGGUUCAACCAAUAAAAGAGCAGAACAACUUCAAAAUCAUUCAACAAUGACUUUCCAAUUCAAAAAAUCGUACUUUAUACUCUGCAGUUAUCUCCGAUAUAUUUCUCCAAAAAGAUCUAACCCCAAUCAUAGAAGAAAAUGGAAAUAUUACGGGCGGAUUAGCGGAAAACCACAAGCAAAAUCACAUACAGAAGCACGCCCUUCAAUUAAUUAACACUAAACCUGCCGAGACUUCGUGUAUACCUAUUCCUACCGUGUGCGGUCAAAAUGAUCGGUGAUUAAAGAAGUAAUAGUUUUUAUGAUUUAAC